UUUCUUUUUUUCACCCCCUGGAAGUUGUUGAAAGCAGUUUGAACCAGUGCUAGAGUAGAAAUCUGACUUCUGCAAAACAGCAAGUGGAAGGAGUGUUUAUGGGCUGGAUGGAAUUAGUUUAAUUAUUCAGAUUUCAGAUAGCCUCAGCUUCUGCAGACUCCAGAUGGAGUCUGAAAUGGCUGGUUCUAAAAGUAGAAUAACAAAAUGAAGAUUGACAAAUCCAAGACCUAGCUACCAACAGGAGGAAAAAAGAAGCUUUAUUUUGUUUGUGAACACAACUAACCCUUGUCUAAAGGUGAUGCCUACCUGCUUUAAGGUAGCCUGCAUUUGGGAAGCCAGUUACAAACCCACAGUUGUUUUGAGAAGGGGGCAGGUGAUUGCUUUUAAUAUCCUUCUGGGAAAGCAUAAUAGGUUAAAGUAAAAUGCUACUUAGAGAAACUCGAGAUGGUUUGUUGUAUUACCCUUCUCUGCAAAAUAUAAAUCUGACAUCGUAGGGGGGAGAAAUAAACUGCUCGGGGGUGAAAAAUGCGCUAGAACAUUAGGAACCAAACUGCCUGUAGCAGUGCAUGACUGAGGGGAAUACUUUAAAACAAAAAGUUGUAUUUGUAGAUUGUUAUUAAAAUGUAAAUAACAAUUUUCAACAAUGGUUUGGAGUCAGCUUUCAGGGCAUAAUGUCUUGCUUGAUGAAAAGAUCACCCUAUACCCCCCUUUUAAAGGAAAAUUAUCGCAGGAGAAUAAGGAUGUGUAAAGCUAACAUGCAUCGCAAAAAACAAAAGGUAACCUAAAUGUCUGCUUUUAAUAGCACAUUUCUCUUUUACAUAAACUGUGACGGCAACUUGCAUAAACUUUAUUGAAACAAUUCUUCAAAUGUUAAUGUAAAAUUUGAAAAAAAAAUGUUUAAAAGUAGAUGUUUUUAAAAAAAGACCACAUGCUUUUGCAUAAAUUAGCAAUAAUUUCAAUAAUCGUGCACUUUGUAAAUGCACUGUAAUGUAACCUGGGCAAAAAAAGGAAUCUGAAAGCUUAAAUUUCAAAAAUGUAAAAUGACACCGAAUAUAGAUAGUCCUGCUACUGCCAAAAAAAAUUCUGCUCAGUUAUUUAAAAUGUAAAAUGAUGACCCUUAUAGACCCCAACAUUGAUAUUCACUAUGAAAUGUUCAGAGCUCAGCUUAAGUUGCAUGUUUUCCUUCCUGUGUAAUUUGCAUGCAGGAUCUUUUUUUCUUUAAAUCUCUGUUUUUUCCAUUAAGGAAACUCACAAUCUCUUCUCAAUUUGCAGGAGUGAAGAAGGUUGCUGCAAAUCAUCUGGGUGAAGAUGUUUUUGUGAAACAAACUCUGGAACAAGCAACCAAGCUGGGAACUUGAAUAAGGUAACUGGAGUGGACAUAGCUUAGGUUAACCUUACUCUUCUCAUUCUGGUGGAAUACCAGAGUCAACUGGAGAGCACUCUGCAGUUGAUUUAGCUGGUCUUCACUAGACCCACUAAAUUGACCCCUGCUACAUCAAUAGUAGCAGCCUGGCACAACCUUUAUAUCCUAUGGAAAAGAUGUGAUAACGAUCAUCCAUUAUGGUGCAGAUUUUUAUCCAGUGGAAGUGAAUCUUGUGGCACUGCCAUUUGGAAUGUAUACAGCUUGCCUCUGCAUGCAUAUGUUGGGUGUUUAUAUAAAAGAUGCUAGUGUUCUGGAGGAAUGUAAAUCUUAUUGUAAAUAAUUGUAUUUGCCAAAACUGGUCUGAGAACAUGCUGCUUGAAGCAUUUUCCUCUAUUCAUCUUAUAGUGUUGGAAUAAUCUGAUCUUUUUUGGUCUAGUGUAUGUACUGAUUGUAGAAUUAUUAACAUGAAAAUCUGAAAGAUGUUUUGACAAAUUAUGGGCUUGACUUGGGACUGGGUCAAAUUUUCUGGCUUGUGUUAUGCCAGAGGUCAGACUAAAUGAUCAUAAUGGUUUCUUCUGGUCUUUAUCUUUUGAAUCUAUUAAAAGUAAAUUUUCCCUUUA